GGCUCAGGAUAAACGCUGGCGGCGCACAUAAGACAUGCAAGUCGAACGGACUUAACCAUUAGUUUACUAUUGGAGCGGUUAGUGGCGGACUGGUGAGUAACACGUAAGCAACCUGCCUGCUAGAGGGGAAUAACAGUGAGAAAUCACUGCUAAUACCGCAUAUGCUCACAGUAUCGCAUGAUACAGUGAGGAAAGGAGUAAUCCACUAGCAGAUGGGCUUGCGUCUGAUUAGAUAGUUGGUGGGGUAACGGCCUACCAAGUCUACGAUCAGUAGCCGAACUGAGAGGUUGAACGGCCACAUUGGGACUGAGAUACGGCCCAGACUCCUACGGGAGGCAGCAGUCGGGAAUAUUGCGCAAUGGAGGAAACUCUGACGCAGUGACGCCGCGUAUGGGAAGAAGGUUUUAGGAUUGUAAACCAUUUUAGACAGGGAAGAACAAUGACAGUACCUGUAGAAUAAGCUCCGGCUAACUACGUG
rnacentral:rRNA from 1 species